rnacentral:pre_miRNA from 1 species
UCUGAGGGAGUGGGUUCCCUCAGCCCGGAUUGUGAGAAGGUGCAUGCCAUGCUGAGGGACCCCAACAGUGCACA